GAUGAACGCUAGCGGCAGGCUUAACACAUGCAAGUCGAGGGGUAAGUAUCUUCGGAUAGCGAGACCGGCGCACGGGUGCGUAACGCGUAGGCAAUCUACCUUUCACAGAGGGAUAGCCCAGAGAAAUUUGGAUUAAUACCUCAUAGUAUAUAGACGCGGCAUCGAGGUUAUAUUAAAGUCACAACGGGAAAAGAUGAGCAUGCGUCCCUUUAGCUCGUUGGUAAGGUAACGGCUUCCCAAGGCUACGAUGGGAAGGGGUCCGGAGAGGGAGAUCCCCCAGACUGGUACUGAGCCACCGACCAGACUCCUACGGGAGGGAGCAGUGCGGGAUAUUGGAGAGGGGGCGCUAGCCUGAUCCAGCCAAGCCGGGUGCAGGAUGACCGUCCUAUGGAUUGUAACCUGCUUUUAUACGAGAAGUAUCACUGCUACGGGUAGCAGCUUGACGGUACCGUAAGAAUAAGGAUCGGCUAACUCCGUG
rnacentral:rRNA from 1 species